rnacentral:rRNA from 1 species
AACGUAGGAGACAAACGUUAUCCGGAGUUACUGGGCGUAAAGGGCGUGUAGGCGGUUUGUUAAGUCUGGCGUGAAAGCUCUCGGCUAAACCGGGAGAGGUCUUGGAUACUGGCAGACUAGAGGACGGUAGAGGCGUGUGGAAUUCCGGGUGUAGUGGUGAAAAUGCGUAGAGAUCCGGAGGAACACCAGUGGCGAAGGCGACAG